AUCUACUUUAUUAAUUUUAGAACCUAAUAACAUUAAAGAUUAAAGAGUAAAGACAUUAACAAAUUCAAAACACAAUCUGAUGCACCUUUCUCUUCCAAACCCAUCUCUCAAUCGCAUGUACCUUUAGAAACCCAUCUAUCAUUGCCUGCAAGAGUGCAAUCUCGUCGGAAACUUCUGGUCGUAAAAACAUGAUUCCUUCAUUUCUUCACCUAAAACCCUAUCGAUUAUUCAUUAGAUCAUCAACUCCGACCCCACUCCUUCUGCCGCAACGCUGUCUUCAUUGACCGGAACUAGAUAUAUCAGUUGCGUUUCGAAACUUCUCCUAAGGAAUCCGGUAAAAUCGAGAUUUACUUUGGAUUUAUCAUAGCUCAUGUUGCUGCUAGGGGAAUUGGUGCUGACAUAAAUUUCAAUCUGAAUGAUUUUGAGGAUGAUCUUAAACAGAGAGCUUCUGAUUGUGUUUUUGUCUCCGACUGGGACAUCUACUGCCGCUUCAAAUUCAAGGAAAGUUGCUAAUGGUUCUGCUUCGACGGUUUCAACGAAUUACUC